CCUACGGGAGGCAGCAGUGGGGAAUAUUGCACAAUGGGCGAAAGCCUGAUGCAGCAACGCCGCGUGAGCGAUGAAGGCUUUCGGGUUGUAAAGCCCUGUCCUCAAGGAAGAUAAUGACGGUAUCUGAGGAGUAAGCCCCGGCUAACUCCGUGCCAGCAGCCGCGGUAAUACGUAGGGGGCUAGCGUUAUUCGGAAUCACUGGGCGUAAAGGGCGCGUAGGCGGGUUCUAAAGUCAGAGGUGAAAGGCUAUGGCUAAACCGUAGUAAGCCUUUGAAACUGGGGAACUUGAGUGCAGGAGAGGAAGGUGGAAUUCCUGGUGUAGGGGUAAAAUGCGUAGAUAUUAGGAGGAACACCAGUUGCGAAGGCGACUCUCUGGACUGUAACUGACACUGAGGCGCGAAAGCGUGGGGAGCAAACAGGAUUAGAUACCCUGGUAGUC
rnacentral:rRNA from 1 species